GUCGUAAAAGGGGACGCGGAGGAGAAGGAAAGUCGCUCAAGCAGUGGACAGAGCGGAGAAAGCGACUUCGGCCGCAGAGAGAAGAAGCUGCCCAAGAAUGGAAAGGAAGAAAUAUAUCACAUCAUCUGUCUGUCCACAGGCUUUCCUUGGGGCUUAUGAAGUGAAUGAAGGAGGGAAGAAAGGAGAGACAGAGAAAAUAUGGAUUUCCUCAUGGUUGUGAUUCCUCUUCACUCUUUUGAAUUUGGAAGGAUGGCAUACACAUCUGAAAAAUACCACUACUUCCUUCAUUGGACUGCAAGGUAUUUCUGUUUGGAAAAGUAAUGGAGUCCAGUCAACUUCAUUGAUCGCCAAGGACUGUCAAAAUUAUAAAACUUGCUGUGGAGCUCUGACAUGCCAGAAGCCGCUAGAAAAAGAAGUUUGACAUUCAGAAACUUAUCAAGAGGUUCUACUCUUUGGAUAGAGACCAAAAUCAUACUUUGAAAAAGCCUGACAGGUUUCUUCGGAAAAGUGGCCAUCCAUGGAAUGAAUGAAAUGUUCUCUUUCUAUUCCAAUCCAACUUAGAAAUAAUGUUUCAUUCAAGAUAAGGCUCGUGGCUUAGGAGAUUGUGACCUGGCUUGCAUCAUUCUAAGACUUCUAUCGUCUGUUUUCAAAACCCAAGGAGGACCUCCUUUUCUGUGUGAUAGUUCCUCAUGCUUUGCCAGCCACUGGGUCUUUAAGGAAGCUUGCCAAGAGUUCCCGGCUGGGAAGGACAGUUCGAGUUCAUCAUAGACAAUGAGCUGGCACCACAGUUUAAGUGACUCACCAACCUGGUUGCCCACUUCAAAAUGUCAAGAACCACACUAUCUAAUUGAAAGAACUGUGUUUUAGCAAAGUGUAAUUGGAUCGCCUGGCAAGAUCAUCUCAAACUAUGUCUCUGACCUUGCCUUUCAGUGGCUAUUUUGAGCACAAGAGGAGAAAGGAAAUGAUUCCUGAAUUAUAUCUUGUUUUUAAAAAUUAAGAUUAAUUAAUACUUGGUUUUAUGUUCAUUCCAUUGUAGGAACUUAGUGAUUAUUACAAAACAGUCAAAAUAGGUCAUAGCAAAAUGAACGUUUAAGAUUAGGUUAAAACAUUCCUCUGAAAUUUUAGUAUUCACUUUUGAAGUGUCAAUUACUAUAUUUCUGUAAUUUCUCAUUUUUUUCUUGGCUUAGAGUCAAGAUGAAAAAUGAUAUUUGAAUCAAAGACAUUGUUUUGUUAUAUAGCCACUCCUUUCUAAAAUGCAAAUCCACCCUCCCCUCACCAAUGCUUUAUUCUUUGUGCGCGCACACACACACACACACACACACACACACACACACACACACAGACAUACACAGAACCAGCACCCAAAUGGUAGAGGAGGUCCUUCCAAGACUUCUAGGACCUGGAUCAUGUAAGCAGUAGAUGAGAAAAUGAAGUAAGAGAUAUAGAGUAAUAACAAUAAAAGUCAAUGAUUUCAUUUUACAAAAAAGUCAUUGUGUAGUACUCAGAUAUUUUUAAGAGCAAGUAUUAUUAUGACUAAAGUAUAUUAUACUUCUAAAUUAUUAUGAUUCUCAUCUAAUUUCAAGCCACACAUAGGCGCCAUUUGAAAGCAUUUUGUGUUACAACCUAUCAACAAAAAUCAACUAAUAGUUUUAUAACGUGCAUAGGUUUACCCCAUGGGGAAUUAAAAUUUUUAUCUGCAAGUAUUUCUGUUGUUGUGAGACUUUAGGACAAGACAACAUUUGGUGUUAACAUAGAAGAAUAUUCUAUGGCUUUUUUAGCUUUAAAGUUCAUUACUCUAAAAUAAAGUACACGUGGUAUUUUUUUCUUCCUAGUGUUCUCUUAUUAUAUGUAGAGUAUUUUCGGUUGUUGUUUUUAACGUAUACAUUAUUUUUAUUAAGUCAUUUCAUAAAAGAUAAGAUAUAUACUAAUAGACCCUUGGUUUUCUCCUAAUUUAAUUAUUUCAAGUCAAGCAAAAUUGGGCAAUUUUCUUUCAGGAAAAAAAAAAUAUUGAGCAUGAUUUUGAGGUAAAACUGAUUAUUUACAGCAUCUUUUCUCUAAUAGGCUAACAUUUAUGAUGGAUCUUAUUUCAAAGUUGAUUAUUCUCAAAGAAAAGUGGAGAUAUUAGAAUUUCCGAGUAAAUUGCAUUGUUUUAAAAAGUACUUUAAUGCAUUGUUCACAUUGUUGCCAGCUAUUGACCAAAAAAGAGAAGAAGAAAAAAGAAAUAAAAAAAGCAGUAUCUGCUCCAAACGUCAAGUUUUGCAGUUUGAAAGACUUGUACAUUAUAAUUGUUUUUUUCUUUUUUGGAAAGCAGUAGUAAUUAAUACCAAAGGCAUAGACAAUUUAGGGCCAUAACCUCCCUUCCCCCCUCUCCACCUUUUUUUUUUUUUUUUUUUUUUUUUAACUUUAACCAUGAUAGGCAUCUCUGCAAGGUAGGUUUUAACAUAUUUUUUUCCUAAUUUUUUUCCCUCCAUUCAGUAAGAAGGAUAAGCUUUUAGAGUACCCAGUCACCGUGGUAACUGCCAAAAAAAUUCUCCUGAAGUUUGAAGAGGUCAGCUAGCAGGGUCAACAACCCUGGCCUCUCUCUGAGCUCGGUCUAGCAUGCCCCAGCCUGCGGUUGGAGUGUCAGGCCAGAUCUGACCCUGGGAGGUGGACCAUUCUGGCUCUGAUAUAAAUUUUUCGAGUCAGUUCAUGGCCUGGACUCUCCAGGUGGCCUCCAAAAUCGAUUUUGACCCCCUGACCCUGUCUCACGGAGGCAUAGCAUCCACCCUAAGUAAGGAUUUAGCCAGGAAUGACAGCUUUCCACUGAGUGUUAUUGGGGACAGUAUAAACAGUUUGGAAAGCAAGUAAGGAGGUGUGAGGGCUAGCAAUCAUUAAAAGCACAUUAAAAAACAAUUUUUAAAAAUCUUUAUUAGAGAAAGUUGUAAAUGCAUAUCUGUUACAGAAUUCCUGUGAUUUGUAGAGUUUUCUAGUCAGUUUUGAAUAUAAAUAGGUCACAUAUCUUUAUCUUUUUGCAUACUUUGUUACAAAUAUGCAAAUAAGAUAGGCAUACUUGCUACAAAAUAGGUACAGCAGGAAUGUAAUAUGUUCAGAAAAGGCAAACUGGUUAUUAAAACACAUUAACAGGUAAGGAGUUUCUAAUAUUUUAAAUACUAAAAUUUUACAUGUGUAUUUUGAAGUUUUUAAAAUGGAAAAAUAAAGAACCUUUAAAAAACCCAACAGUGUGGAAUAAAGAUAAACUUGUUGCACUCAAGGUACAUUUCUACUUUGUAAAGCAAGAAGCCAAUACACUCAGUUGGAUAAAAAUGAGAGAAAAAUUGUAAAUAUAGAGAGUUACAGCUUAUAGAGCUGAAGAGGAAUAAAACAAAAAAAAGUGUCUCUGAAUAACUUUAUGUAUUUUCAACAGUUUAAGAUAUCAGAAACUUGGAAAAUAAAUAUGAUAUAUAUAUAAAUCAUCA
rnacentral:lncRNA from 1 species